CAAGGAUUCCCCUAGUAACGGCGAGUGAAGCGGGAAGAGCACAAAUUUUAAAUCUACCUGGUUUCCAGGUCGAGUUGUAAUUUGAAGAAGUGUUUUUUACUUUCCGGGUUGGGUUAAAUCCUUUGGGAUAAGGUAUCAUGGAGGGUGAGAAUCCCGUGUAUACCAACCGCAGGAUYGUUUAAUAUACACUUUCUAAGAGUCGAGUUGUUUGGGAAUGCAGCUCUAAAUGGGUGGUAAAUUUCACCUAAUGCUAAAUAUAAGCGAGAGACCGAUAGCGAACAAGUACCGUGAGGGAAAGAUGAAAAGAACUUUGAAAAGAGAGUUAAAUAGUACGUGAAAUUGUUGAAAGGGAAACGGUURAAGUCAGUCAUGCCGGCGGGAAUCAACUUAGGGGAAACUCUGAGUGCACUUCUUCGCUUGGCAGGUUAGCGUCGAUUUUGGAUGUCAUAAAAUGACUGGGGGAAGGUAGCUCUUUCGGGAGUGUUAAGCCCUURGUAGAUGUGAUGUCCGGGAUCGAGGAUUGCAACGGAUACCUUUUGGGCUAACCGCCUAGUCUCUAAUAYGAAGUUGGGUUAUGGACAGCACGCUGACUGUGAUCUGAUUUUCGGUUAAAAGAUUAGAGCGAGUGUAAAUUCGUUAAGGACGCUGACGUAAUGGC
rnacentral:rRNA from 1 species